UAGCCUAGUGGAUAAGGCUUUGGAUCACCAAUCCGGAGACGGCGGGUUCGAUUCCCGU
rnacentral:tRNA from 1 species